rnacentral:rRNA from 1 species
UACGUAGGGGGCAAGCGUUGUCCGGAAUCAUUGGGCGUAAAGCGCGUGUAGGCGGUCCGGUAAGUCCGCUGUGAAAGUCGGGGGCUCAACCCUCGGAUGCCGGUGGAUACUGUCGGGCUUGAGUACGGAAGAGGCGAGUGGAAUUCCUGGUGUAGCGGUGAAAUGCGCAGAUAUCAGGAGGAACACCAAUUGCGAAGGCAGCUCGCUGGGACGGUACUGACGCUGAGGCGCGAAAGCGUGGGGAGCAAACAGG